rnacentral:lncRNA from 1 species
GGCAUUAUGUUCAGUAAACACGAAUUGGGGAGGUUUAGCCUCGACAACAGGUUUGCACUUUCUCACUUUUAAAUUUAAUUUUUUAAUGUCGGUUUGGCUACGAAAAGUUGAGAAUCGUAAGUAUUUCUUGGGGUUCGUUACUUCUAUAUAUAUGCUAAAUCAUGAUCUUAAUUUGUUUCUAUGGUAGAAUGGUGCUAGUGUGCUCCGGUGAAACUUGCUCGCAGCUUUGUAGGCACUUAUGUGGUACUACGGAGUUCGAUUUUGCGAAGGCAACAUAUAUUACACCAGAACUGAAGUUCAAAG